UUUAAUUCGAUGCAAAGCAAAGAACCUUACCAGGGCUUGACUUGCCGCGAAUCCUCUUGAAAGAGAGGGGUGCCCUCGGGAACAUGGACACAUGUGGUGCAUGGCUGUCGUCAGCUUGUGCCGUAAGGUGUUGGGUUAAAAAAAACAAGAAGUCUACUAGGCGGACUGGUCCGAGUGAAGAGAGAAAAAAUCCAUACGGAACUCAAAAUAUUUUUUGGAGAUAUUCAUUUUCCUGAAGAGGCGGAUAA
rfam:Triticum aestivum genome assembly, contig: Triticum_aestivum_CS42_TGACv1_scaffold_272035_3DS